UACGGGGGGAGCAAGCGUUGUUCGGAUUUACUGGGCGUAAAGGGCGCGUAGGCGGCCACCGCAAGUCGACUGUGAAAUCUCUGGGCUUAACCCAGAAAGGUCAGCCGAUACUGCGGGGCUAGAGUGCAGAAGGGGCAACUGGAAUUCUCGGUGUAGCGGUGAAAUGCGUAGAUAUCGAGAGGAACACCUGCGGCGAAGGCGGGUUGCUGGGCUGACACUGACGCUGAGGAGCGAAAGCGUGGGGAGCAAACAGG
rnacentral:rRNA from 1 species